rnacentral:rRNA from 1 species
UACGAGGGGGGCAAGCGUUGUUCGGAAUUAUUGGGCGUAAAGGGCGCGUAGGCGGCUUGACAAGUCACUUGUGAAAUCUCCGGGCUUAACUCGGAACGGCCAAGUGAAACUGUCAUGCUAGAGUGCAGAAGGGGCAAUCGGAAUUCUUGGUGUAGCGGUGAAAUGCGUAGAUAUCAAGAGGAACACCUGAGGUGAAGACGGGUUGCUGGGCUGACACUGACGCUGAGGCGCGAAAGCCAGGGGAGCAAACGGG